CCGUUCAUAUUACAGCAGGUCAGAUUCAGGGUCAGGGUUCAGGUCUGGGUUCAGGUCUGGGUUCAGGUCUGGGUUCAGGUCAGGGCUCAGGUCUGGGUUCAGGUCUGGGUUCAGGUCUGGGUUCAGGUCUGUGUGUAGGUCAGGAUGCUUUGGUCAGUUCCUCUGCAGCAGGAUGUGACUGAGUCUCCAUCUGUAGUUUCGUUAGAAAACAGGAAAUCUUGAGCAGACUUUUCUUCUUCUUCACGGAGCUGCUGAUGUUUUUGUCUCCUCUCGUUGAGAUUAUUGUAACGCCCUGCUCUCUGGCCUCCCAAAAAAGAACUUACAGACACUUCAGGUUUUACAGAAUUCAGCUGUAAGAGUUCUGACGAGGGUCAGAGGGCGAGUUUUAGCGUCGCUGCGUUGGCUCCCCGUCUGUUUCAGGAUUGAUUUUCAGGUUCUUCUUUUAUUAGUUUUUAGAUGUAUUAAUGGUCUUGGCUCCUCUUAUUUAUCUGACUUACUUUUAUCAUAUAAAGCCUCACGACCUUUUAACCUUUGAACCCAAAGUUAAAACAAAAACACACGGGGAGGGAGGCGGCGCUCAGUUUCUCUGGUCCCCGGUUGUGGAACAGCCUGAUGGAGAUCCUCAGGACCACAGAGACUGUUGAUGUUUUUAAGAAGAGGCUCCAGACUCACUUUUUUAACCAGGACUUUUCUCUAACUACCUUUUUAUAUUUCUCUUAUUGCAAAUGUUCAUUUUAAUCAAAAUUCUUAAUUUUUUCUUUAAUGUCAUUUUAUUAAUUAUCUCUGUUCUUAGUCUUUUUUUAAUUCCCAUCAUAGAGGUUUUUACUUCUUUUACCCCUUUUACAUGGUAAAGCGCUCUUACUUAUCUGUUCAUUUAAUAUUAUUUUAUUAUUUUAGUCCAUCAGGUUUUACUCUUCCUUUGAACUAUUUUUAAUUAAAUUUAUUUUAUUUUAUUGUUUAAGUCCAUCAGAUUUUAGUCUUUCUUUUAACUAUUUUUAAUUAAUUUUUAUUUUAUUUUAUUGUUUUACUCCAUCAGAUUUUAGUCUUCAUUUUAACUAUUUUUAAUUAAUUAAUUUAUUUUAUUUUCUUGUUUUCGUCCAUCGGGUUUUACUUUUUCUUUUUAACAUUUUAUUUUUAAUCUUUUAUCUCCAUGUUUCCUAAAGGUCGCUCCUUCCUCACUCAUGUCUCGGUGCCGGGUCAUCUCUCUUUAACUAUAUAUCUAAAAUUCUCACUCUGUGUGUGUUUGUGUGUGUGUAUGUGUGGGUGAGUGAGUGACUGACUGAGGGUGGGUGUGUGUCUUUGUGUGUGUGUGUGUGUGGGUCCUGAAAAGUUCCGUAUAAAUAAAGUUGAAUUUGAAUUUGUGUUAGUGGAGCUGGAACAGCCGCCUGUGUCCGCCUGUUAGCCUGCAGCACCUCCACCUGUCAGAAGUCUGUUACUGCACCCACCUGCCUCCUCCUCCUCCUCUGCAGGGAUGGAGAGUCACAGAACAAACGCUGCCCUCCAUGAACCAGCAUGUGAGGAUUAUUUCAGAUAUAAUCCUCUCUGACAGCUUCAUCUGGAGCUCCAGUCUGGAUUAUGUCCUAACCUUUGGUUCGUUUGUGAUUGCUCAUUAGUGAGGCGGACUCGUGGACAUGUCCUCUCUCUGUGUCCUGAUGAAUCUCUGAUAGUUUGAGUUCAGAAGGAGGCGAACAUCUCUGAAACUCUGAGAUCAGCAGGAGUGGAGACGUGAAGAAAACAGGAGAGCGUCGUCUUCCCUUUUAACUCCUUACCUCCUCUGCUCCUUUCCUCGACUCGCCCCCUCCUUCCUCGUCUCGGCUGCUUUUACUCCCAUCUUCUCAUUUCCUCCUCUCCUUCUCUUAUUUCCUCUCCUAGUCUCCUCUCUCCUCCUGAAGUCUCCUUUAACCGCCAGAGUUGUUCCUUCACUCCCUGACAGCUGACUGAUCAGCUGAUGCCGUCAUCUCACCCUUCUUUCCUCGUUCCCUCUCUCCUCUCUUCAUACAUCUCUGGUGGGAGGGAAUAAGACACUAGUGAAGGAUACAAGGAUGCAAGUCUAGGGAGCAGGGAAAUGGCUCUAGUCUUCCUUUGGUUUAUUUCCUUUCUUAGUUUCCUUUCCUUAACUCCUUCUGUUCUCCUUUCCUCUUGUUUCCUUCAUAGUUUUUAUCACUUUGCCUCCUCUAAUCCUCUCCUUGUAUCCUAACCCUCUAUCCUUGCUCCCUCUCCUCUUGUCCACUUCUGCCCUCACCUGUUGGUACCUGGAUUUUGCUCUGGAUGAUGAAGAUGAUGAAGAUGGUGACAGCUGGAGUCUGUGUGAAUAGAACACUUCCUGUUGACUUCACGUAUCUCGUCACCAUCAUCGUAAAUUUACGACUUUAAUCUCAUAGAUUCAGAAUUUUCUCAGUUUUGUUCUCAUAGAUUUUCUGAUUUAAUCUCAUGAAUUAAAAACUUUAUUCUCAUUAUAACGAACGAGACUAGAGCUGUAGAUUAAAGACGUCAGUCUCAAAAAUGAACCACUCUAAUCUCCGAGAUUAAAACUCUACUCUGGAGAUGAGACUUUCUUCUCAUCAGUUUUUAAUAUUCAUAUUUUAGUCUUGACUUUUUUAACUUUGAUUGUUUAGAUUUGUGAUAUUAACACCAUAAAUUUACAUCUCUUAAAAUAAUAACUUUAUCAUAUUUUUUGUGUGAAUUUUUGAAUAAGAACUUUAAUCUUGUAAAUCUAAUUUAAUCUAAUUUACCUCAUAAAUCUUAUUGAUUAAUAACUUUUUAAUUUUUAAUAUUACAGCUUCAUUCUCAUAGAUUUUGGAUCUUCACUCGUAUAUUAACACGUCUUGUACAUUUUUAAUCUCAGUGUCGUGAAUUUCAGACCUCUAUCAUGGAUUAUAAAACUCAUAAUUUUGGGGGUAAAUCUGCUAAAUUUACGACUUUAAUCUCAUAAAUCUUGAAGUAAAUUCUUGUGACUCUUUUCUGUGUUCAAUUUAUAAUAAUAUUCUCAUUAAAUAAAUGUUUUUUUUAAUCUGUUGUAUUUUCUUAAUUGUUUUCAGUCGAUUCUGUAAAUUUCAGAUUAUAAUCUCAUGGACCUUUAACUGUAUUCUGGUAAUAACCGUCUCUCAUUUUAAUGUUGUUUUCUCAGUAUAUUUCCUCUGUGUUCUUGUUGUUGUCUGAUGAUAAUCCCGUAAAUGACCUCCACGUUAGUCCCCGACUCUCUGAUGUUCCUCUGAACUCGUAUUUCUCUGCUCCUGCUGUGACAGAUCCAGGUCUUCCUGUUGGUCCAAACCCUGUUUCAUGUCGAGUAAAAAUAUCUCCACAGAUGAAACUCUCCGUCUGCAGACUGAUUAAUAAAUCCGCCUCAAACAUUUACACCUUUCCCUGGAGUUUGAUCUGAGAGGAAGCUCCUGAUCUCCUCCUCCUCCUCCUCCUCCUCCUCACACGCUGGAUCUCCUGAGGUGAGGCUCCUGCAGAGAUAACUCUCUGCUCCUCGGUCUGAUCUGUGUUUUACAUUUUAGCUUCUUGUUUCUUCACUUUUUAUCUGCUGUUUCCUCAAUUCUUUGUGUUUUUUUUUUAACCUCUUUUCUUCUUCAGGAGGAUCCCUGCAGACGAGCCGCUCGCUCAAACUGUCAACAUCAGAAAGAAGAAGAAGAAGCUGCUGUAGAGAUGUGAGUCAGUUUAGACACACAAACACGAGCUGUGAACUCAUCCUUCAACCCUGAACACACACACACACACACACACACACACAUCCUCAGAGAUGGAUCUGAGCUCAGAGGUGGUUAAUUCCUCAGGUGUGGAUAAACCCUCUCACCUGUCGCUCUCUUCAGAUAAACUCGGAUCAUGUCGUGUGGAGGAUGAUUUUUUUUGUUGUUGUUGUUGUUGAUGAACGUGAAGAAAACAGGGAUAAAAAAACUGCAAACAAAACAGGCUGAAAUAUUGAUGAACAGACUGAAAAUACUGAUUUAUCCUAAAUAUUCAUUCAGAGAUCAGUCAGGAUUAUAAAUCCUGAUUUAACGACUGAAAUCCUUUUAUCGCCUUUUGUAUCAUAUUCGACACAUAAUUUUAUAAACUUCCAUCAAAUCAAUAUGAUCAACAAAUGACUAAAAAAACACCUGAAUACAGUCUGAUAGAUGAUAAAAACGUCCUCUUGUAGUUUAUAAGUUUCCAAAAACAUCUAAUGUAUCAAACGAGAUCAAUAAAUAUAUUUGUUCAAUUUUUAAAGGUGGUGUAGACAUGUAAGACCACAUGGAUCCAUGACCCAGACGGAGCGGUAACAUGACAUCCAGCAGAAACAGACACAAUAAAGACAAACAGACGAGGUGAUUUCAGUGACUCAGUUUGAGGAUUUUUAUGAUUUUUUUACCCACAAUCAGAGCUGAGUCAGAAACAUCCAAACAGUCGGACUAAUAAAUGUGAUUAUUAUUAUUAGAGUGAUUGAAAAGCUCAUAACAACAUGUAGAUCUGUCCAAAGUCUGAUUCUAGAUGUCUUUACAAACACACUGAUCCAACAGAAGCAGACAGAAAUAUCCAUCGAUCACAUGAACACAAAUAUUCAGCAAACAGAGAAAGAAACAGAUCAUCUGAAGAGUUUUUGGGGACGACUGGAAAGACUUUAGACGCUUGGAUUUGGGACAGGAAAUAAGGUCGUCCUUUUUCUGUGAUUUUGACCUCACUUUUUUCUAAAGUCUCAGACCUUCAACAUCUGCACCAACUGAAGGUGAUUUGAACAAACCAUCAUCUUGAUGUUGUUGAUAUCAAACUUGAUGAAGAUUUUUCAACAUGAGAAAUACAAACAAUCAAAGUUCUCCACAAUCACUGUCCUUAAAGCUGCGACCAAAUCAGCAUCUUUAGAAAAGAAUCAAAAAGCUGAAAUGAAGAACUAAACCCAGAGUUUUUGGUGAGACUGAUCCACAAACAUUUACAAACCAGAACAUUUCAAGAGUUCAAGGAUCUCAGUCCAUGAUUUUGGUCUGAUGGACUCAAAAUUCUCUUUACUUCACUUCUAUAAACUCAGCAGAGUCUCCAUCACUGCAGCCUAACAUCAGUCCAGCAUGUAGAGGUUCAGUGAAUGUGGUCUGGACUCUGUGGAGGAGAGUCAUGGUUUCAGAGACGCUGUAGAAGGACAGAAUACCUGCUCUGUGAUCCAGGUACACUCCUACUCUGGAGGACGGAGGAACUGAGACACGAGUGAAGACUCUGUUGUGAAUAAAUCCAUACCUGUCUUUAGAACAGACUAACGUCCAAGAUUUGUUAUUGUUUCCAAAGAAACUUUUUUCUAACCCCCUUUCUCUCCUGAUAGUCUUGUAUGCGACUGCUACACUAACCCCGCCCCCUCUCCAGUCCACCUCCCAGUAACAACGUCCAGUCAGACUCUCUCUACUCAGGACCUGAACAUAAUAAUAAGUGAAUCUGUCUGGAUGAUCAGGAUAAGACUGUAGUCGUUUUGUAAAUGUUGCUCUUCUGUUUCCAUCAGAUAAUUUCAGUCGUCUGUUUACUGUGUUUGGAUCCAGUGUGAUUCUUUGUGAAUAUCUUAAGAAACCAGCUCUGGUCUUGGGUUCUGCUGGUCCUGGUUCUGGUUCUAACAGUAAAACAUCCACAUCAGUCACUGCCUGUGAGACGUUUGUCCACGUCUCUGUCAGAAGAUCCUGGAGUUUCUCUCUGAGCUCUGACACAGCUGCUGUCACCUCCUCAAAGUAUCUCAGAGGACGGAUGUUGAUCCUGGAUGAGUCUGCAGGUUGACCCGGUUCUGACAGUGAGGGGUAGCUGUGCAGAAACUGGUUGUGGUCCUCUGUGAGUGAGAGCUUCUGCAGAUCAGCGUCUUUCCUCUUCAGCUCAGUGAUCUCCUGCUCCAGUUUCUCCUGAAGUUCUUUGACUCGACUCACUUCACGUUCCUGCUGGGAUCUGACCUGCUGCUCCACGUCAGAGCGGCGUUUCUCCAUCAGACGGAUCAGCUUGGUGAAGAUCUCCUGGCUGUGCUCCACAGCUUUAUCAGCAGAGCCGUUGAUAGCCUCCACCUCCUGUUGGAGCAGCUUCACAUCUUCUUCUCUGUCCUGGAUUCUCUGCUGGAUGUUUUCUCGACUCUCCUCCAGCUUCUUGGAGGGCUCCACCAGCUUGUGUUUCUUUAAUGGAGUAACUUCAUAAUGAGGCUGGAGGUGAAUCUGACAGUAAGAAGCCAGACAUCGCAGACAGGACUUGACAGAUUUCCGUUUUCUCCCACUGCAGGAAUCACAGGCCACAUCUUCAGGUCCAGCCUCAGAGGAACCAUCAGGAGCAGCUUGGAGUCCGCUCUUCUUCACUUCCUCCACUAAACCUGCUAACAUGGUGUUUUUCUUCAGGACAGGCCUCGGUCUGAAAGUCUCUCUACACUGAGGACAGCUGUAGAUCAUCUUCUCAUCCUCAUUAUCCCAGUGGGAUUGAAUACAGCUCAUGCAGAAGCUGUGUCCACAGGAAACAGUCACCGGAUCCUUCAGAAGAUCCAAACAGAUGGAACAAGAGAAAGACUCACGGUCCAGAUGAACUCCUUUCUGCGCCAUUUCAACACUCGCUGUCGACGACGACUGACUGAGUUUUAUUUCCUGAGAAGUGAAACUAGUCUGAGCUCUGAUCUCAACAACAUGUGUGAGUCAACAGGAUAUGACCUCAGCACACGGAGGUUAUACCCAACCUUAGACUGUAGAUCUGAGGGGGGGAGGGAGGAAGGAAGUGAGAGUGCAGAAUGGAGUGAGCUGUGUGAGAGACGGGGGGGGGGGGGGCAGUUUAUCUACAGUCAAGGAAGAGGAGCAUCUCUGUGAUCUUUAGACCCUCAAACUAAAACAAUCAGAAGUUCUUAAAGCUGCAGCCGUCCUGAAGAUCAACUGAACCAACAUUUAUUGACCUCAUAGAAACCUCAUCGAGCAGAAACACUUCCACUGUUUUAUCCUGAUGUCCUCACAUAGUUAACCCUCGGAGCAUCUUGGCGACGAAAGUGGUCAUUUUGGGUGUUUUUUUUGUUCUUCUCUCAGUAACCCGGUCAGUUUAAAGGCUAGCUGUAUGAAAUUUUGGCACUAUUUUUUUUCAUUUUUAUUUCCUUAAUUCCAAAAACCUGUGUACUGGAAGUGUUUAGAAUAGGAGAUCUGCAUCACACCGACACCUGUUACCCUUGUGGCCACAUGUGGCCAAUUGACUCCCAUUAUAACCACAUAUUUGUCAUACGCUAUAAUCCUAACAUAUUUCAAUUUUUUUUUCUAUUUAUACCUAAUAGAUCUAAGCUUUUAUCUUCAAUAUUUAGGGAAAAUAUGUUUUAGGUGUAAUGACCCCCUUUAACAACCAGAGGCCCUUACAUAAAGUUUUGGGGAAAUUUCAGUGAAGGCCUGGGUUUCUUACCUCGCAAAAUGCAUAGAAAUAACAAAGCUAAACACCAUAAGAUGGCCUUGGUCUAUUAGCAGUGAUAUAAAAUAGUGGUUUGAAUAUGAAUGAGGAAAAAAAACAUCAACAGAGCCCUUAUGACCUGGGAUUUUUGAUUUUCAUCUAAAGGGUCCAUCUGUAAGGGAAUAAUCAGCCCUCCAGACUCUCAGAUGAAUCCUCAAAAUUCACCUCAGAGUACUGCAAGAUACACAUGCACACACACACACUCCCUCUCUCUCUCCCUCUCUCUCUCUCUCUUCUCUCUCUCUCCCUCUCUCGCCCUCUCUCUCUCUCUCUCUCUCCUUCUCUCUCUCUCUCUUCCUUUCCUCUCUCUCUCUCUCCCUCUCCCUCUCUCUUUCUCUCUCUCUUCUCUCUCUCUCCCUUUCCUCUCUCUCUCUUUCUCUCCCUCCCUCUCCCCCUCUCUCUCUCCCCCUCUCUCCCUCUCUCCCUCUCUCUCUGCCCCCCCUCCCUCUCUCUCUCUCCCUCUCUCUCUCUCUCUCUCUCUCUCCCUCUCUCUCCCUCUCUCUCUCUCUCUCUCUCCCUCUCUCUCUGCCCCCCCCUCUCUCUCUCUCUCUCUCUCUCUCUCUCUCUCUCCUCUCUCUUUGCCCCCCCUCUCUCUCUCUCUCUCUCUCUCUCUCUCUCUCUCUCUCUCUCUCUCCCUCUCUCUCUGCCCCCCCCCCUCUCUCUCUCUCUCUCUCUCCCUCUCUCUCUGCCCCCCCCUCUCUCUCUCUCUCUCUCUCUCUCCCUCUCUCUCUCUCUCUCUCUCCCUCUCUCUCUGCCCCCCCCCCCCUCUCUCUCUCUCUCUCCCACUAAGGUGAUCUUCUCUAGUGUUCCCAGCUGAGCCGUGGUCUCUCACAGAUGUCAGGUCUAGAUGAUCCUAAAUCAGAGGAAUGAGGAUCUUAAUCUGCUCUAAUCUGAGGGUUGAUGACUUUGACUCUCGUUGAUGUCACCUCUGAAAACUCUCGGACCCUAACAAACCUCAGCCCUGACACUGACACGGGGCUCUGAAUCUGUAUCGUUCCGAUUAAAUUCAGAUAUAAUGCAGAUAAAUCCUUCAGAUCAUUACAAAUGGGGCCCAGUCAAGGUGAAAGUCAAAAGCAUUGGUGCUACUGUAGAUGCCAACAGACUACCAGCAAACACAAUGUUUGCAGGACUUCUACAACGAGGAUAAAGUGACAUAGUCCAGAACCCGAGGGAGGACAGUUUAGCGAUGGCGCUACAACACGCUACAGCAGGUCCGUUUGACAAGAAACACUUCUGUUACAGACACUUGUCUUACUUUGUUAAAGCGGUUUACCUGUCCAGCAGAAAGGUUACAGGGUCACCAAGAUCCCCAAGCGUCCCCCAUCGUUUAUGUUGACCCGGCUUUUUAGCUCUUGUCCGGUCUACCUUCGUUUUAAGCGCCCGUUAUUCCUCCAGAGUCUCCGGUAUUUACUUUGUUUUCUUGCUUGUGUCGGCAGUCGUGGCCAAAGGAGGAUUCAGACAAUUUUCCGAACUUUCUGGUUGGUUUCUACUGUCCGAUAUUGUAGCACGCUAACUUUGUUUGGGCUCCUGAACGACACGGGGGAGCAGCGUUUUCUUGUUGACUGUUUUCUUGUUGCCUGUUUUUUGUUGACUGUUUUGGUGUUGACCGGUUUGGUGUUGACUGUUUUCUUGUUGACUGAUUAUAGUUGACGUUUUCUUGCUGACUGUUUUCUUGUUGAAUGUUUUGGUGUUGACUGUUUAUGGUUGACUGUUUUCUUGUUGACUGUUUUUUGCUGACUGUUUUCUUGUUGACUGUUUUUUGUUGACUGUUUUUUGUUGACUGUUUAUGGUUGACGUUUUCUUGCUGACUGUUUUCUUGUUGACUGUUUAUGGUUGACUGUUUUCUUGUUGACUGUUUUCUUGUUGACUGUUUUUUGCUGACUGUUUUCUUGUUGACUGUUUUUUGUUGACUGUUUAUGGUUGACGUUUUCUUGUUGACUGUUUUCUUGUUGACUGUUUAUGGUUGACUGUUUUCUUGUUGACUGUUUUCUUGUUGACUGAUUAUGGUUAACUGUUUUCUUGCUGACUGUUUUAUGUUGACUGUUUUGGUGUUGACCAUUUUCUUGUUAACCGGUUUGGUGUUGACUGUUUUCUUGCUGACUGUUUUCUUGCUGACUGUUUAUGUUUGAGUGUUUUCUUGCUUGUGUCGGCAGUCGUGGCCAAAGGAGGAUUCAGACAAUUUUCCGAACUUUCUGGUUGGUUUCUACUGUCCGAUAUUGUAGCACGCUAACUUUGUUUGGGCUCCUGAACGACACGGGGGAGCAGCGUUUUCUUGUUGACUGUUUUCUUGUUGCCUGUUUUUUGUUGACUGUUUUGGUGUUGACCGUUUUCCUGUUGACCGGUUUGGUGUUGACUGUAUUGGUGUUGACUGUUUAUGGUUGACUGUUUUCUUGUUGACUGUUUUCUUGUUGACUGAUUAUAGUUGACGUUUUCUUGCUGACUGUUUUCUUGUUGACUGUUUUCUUGCUGACUGUUUUCUUGCUGACUGUUUUCUUGCUGACUGUUUUCUUGUUGACUGUUUUGGUGUUGACUGUUUAUGGUUGACUGUUUUCUUGUUGACUGAUUAUAGUUGACGUUUUCUUGCUGACUGUUUUCUUGUUGACUGUUAUCUUGCUGACUGUUUUUUGUUGACUGUUUUGGUGUUGACUGUUUAUGGUUGACUGUUUUCUUGUUGACUGAUUAUAGUUGACGUUUUCUUGCUGACUGUUUUCUUGUUGACUGUUAUCUUGCUGACUGUUUUUUGUUGACUGUUUUUUGUUGACUGUUUUCUUGUUGACUGUUUUUUGUUGGCUGUUUAUGGUUGACGUUUUCUUGCUGACUGUUUUCUUGUUGACUGUUUAUGGUUGACUGUUUUUUGCUGACUGUUUUCUUGUUGACUGAUUAUGGUUGACGUUUUCUUGCUGACUGUUUUCUUGUUGACUGUUUUCUUGUUGACUGUUUUCUUGCUGACUGUUUUCUUGUUGACUGUUUUGGUGUUGACUGUUUAUGGUUGACUGUUUUCUUGACUGAUUAUAGUUGACGUUUUCUUGCUGACUGUUUUCUUGUUGACUGUUAUCUUGCUGACUGUUUUUUGUUGACUGUUUUGGUGUUGACUGUUUAUGGUUGACUGUUUUCUUGUUGACUGAUUAUAGUUGACGUUUUCUUGCUGACUGUUUUCUUGUUGACUGUUAUCUUGCUGACUGUUUUUUGUUGACUGUUUUUUGUUGACUGUUUUCUUGUUGACUGUUUUUUGUUGGCUGUUUAUGGUUGACGUUUUCUUGCUGACUGUUUUCUUGUUGACUGUUUAUGGUUGACUGUUUUUUGCUGACUGUUUUCUUGUUGACUGAUUAUGGUUGACGUUUUCUUGCUGACUGUUUUCUUGCUGACUGUUUUCUUGCUGACUGUUUUCUUGUUGACUGUUUUGGUGUUGACUGUUUAUGGUUGACUGUUUUCUUGUUGACUGAUUAUAGUUGACGUUUUCUUGCUGACUGUUUUCUUGUUGACUGUUAUCUUGCUGACUGUUUUUUGUUGACUGUUUUGGUGUUGACUGUUUAUGGUUGACUGUUUUCUUGUUGACUGAUUAUAGUUGACGUUUUCUUGCUGACUGUUUUCUUGUUGACUGUUAUCUUGCUGACUGUUUUUUGUUGACUGUUUUUUGUUGACUGUUUUCUUGUUGACUGUUUUUUGUUGGCUGUUUAUGGUUGACGUUUUCUUGCUGACUGUUUUUUGUUGACUGUUUUGGUGUUGACUGUUUAUGGUUGACUGUUUUCUUGUUGACUGAUUAUAGUUGACGUUUUCUUGCUGACUGUUUUCUUGUUGACUGUUAUCUUGCUGACUGUUUUUUGUUGACUGUUUUUUGUUGACUGUUUUCUUGUUGACUGUUUUUUGUUGGCUGUUUAUGGUUGACGUUUUCUUGCUGACUGUUUUCUUGUUGACUGUUUAUGGUUGACUGUUUUUUGCUGACUGUUUUCUUGUUGACUGAUUAUGGUUGACGUUUUCUUGCUGACUGUUUUCUUGUUGACUGUUUUCUUGCUGACUGUUUUCUUGCUGACUGUUUUCUUGUUGACUGUUUUGGUGUUGACUGUUUAUGGUUGACUGUUUUCUUGUUGACUGAUUAUAGUUGACGUUUUCUUGUUGACUGUUUUUUGUUGACUGUUUUUUGUUGACUGUUUAUGGUUGACGUUUUCUUGCUGACUGUUUUCUUGUUGACUGUUUAUGGUUGACUGUUUUCUUGUUGACUGUUUUCUUGUUGACUGUUUUUUGCUGACUGUUUUCUUGUUGACUGUUUUUUGUUGACUGUUUAUGGUUGACGUUUUCUUGUUGACUGUUUUCUUGUUGACUGUUUAUGGUUGACUGUUUUCUUGUUGACUGUUUUCUUGUUGACUGAUUAUGGUUGACGUUUUCUUGCUGACUGUUUUCUUGUUGACUGUUAUCUUGCUGACUGUUUUUUGUUGACUGUUUUUUGUUGACUGUUUUCUUGUUGACUGUUUUUUGUUGGCUGUUUAUGGUUGACGUUUUCUUGCUGACUGUUUUCUUGUUGACUGUUUAUGGUUGACUGUUUUUUGCUGACUGUUUUCUUGUUGACUGAUUAUGGUUGACGUUUUCUUGCUGACUGUUUUCUUGUUGACUGUUUUCUUGUUGACUGUUUUCUUGCUGACUGUUUUCUUGUUGACUGUUUUGGUGUUGACUGUUUAUGGUUGACUGUUUUCUUGUUGACUGAUUAUAGUUGACGUUUUCUUGCUGACUGUUUUCUUGUUGACUGUUAUCUUGCUGACUGUUUUUUGUUGACUGUUUUGGUGUUGACUGUUUAUGGUUGACUGUUUUCUUGUUGACUGAUUAUAGUUGACGUUUUCUUGCUGACUGUUUUCUUGUUGACUGUUAUCUUGCUGACUGUUUUUUGUUGACUGUUUUUUGUUGACUGUUUUCUUGUUGACUGUUUUUUGUUGGCUGUUUAUGGUUGACGUUUUCUUGCUGACUGUUUUCUUGUUGACUGUUUAUGGUUGACUGUUUUUUGCUGACUGUUUUCUUGUUGACUGAUUAUGGUUGACGUUUUCUUGCUGACUGUUUUCUUGUUGACUGAUUAUGGUUAACUGUUUUCUUGCCGACUGUUUUACGUUGACUGUUUUGUUGUUGACCAUUUUCUUGUUAACCGGUUUGGUGUUGACUGUUUUCUUGUUGACUGUUUUCUUGUUGACUGAUUAUAGUUUACGUUUUCUUGCUGACUGUUUUCUUGCUGACUGUUUUCUUGACUGUUUUCUUGUUGACUGUUUUCUUGUUGACUGUUUUCUUGUUGACUGUUUAUGGUUGACUGUUUUCUUGUUGACUGUUUUCUUGUUGACUGAUUAUGGUUAACUGUUUUCUUGCCGACUGUUUUAUGUUGACUGUUUUGGUGUUGACCGUUUUCCUGUUGACCGGUUUGGUGUUGACUGUUUUCUUGCUGACUGUUUUCUUGCUGACUGUUUAUGUUUGAGUGUUUUCUUGCUUGUGUCGGCAGUCGUGGCCAAAGGAGGAUUCAGACAAUUUUCCGAACUUUCUGGUUGGUUUCUACUGUCCGAUAUUGUAGCACGCUAACUUUGUUUGGGCUCCUGAACGACACGGGGGAGCAGCGUCUGCCUCACAACCAAUCAGGUUAGAGGAGGUGGAGAAUGUCUUUGUUUACAGUCAGAAAGAGCGGACCGCUCAAAAAUGUUCAAAUGUUGACGACACAGACAGAGGAGAACACAGAGAUAUCGAUAUAUUACCAAAUGUCAUCAAUAACUAAUCACUAUUGACUGAUAUUAGAAGAUUUUUUGUAUUAAAACCACAAAAUAAAAAGAAGCUUCUUUAACAGAAUUCUGUCUACCCCACCUUUAAGGACAUUUUGAUUAUUUUGGUUUUCAGUAUUAAAUGAAAUAAACAUUUCAGCUCAGUUCUGAUGAUCAUGUUUUAAAGAUCCUGAGGGACUAAAUUAGGAUCCAAACUGAGAUCUGACUCAGAGGGUACCUGGUUCCUGGAACUACGAGGGAGUCUCUGUAAUCAGUUUAGGAUCACCAGUUCACCUCAUGAACGGAUUUCUGGACUUUGAGAGGAAGCCCAGGAGACCCACGAGGACCCACACAUGCAGGAGGAGAACACACAAACUCCACAGAGAGAAAGGUUCCUGUCUGGUCGGAGAUUUGAACCAGGAACCUUCUCGCUGUGAGAGAAAGUGAAUCAUCAGCAGCUUCUUCUUCAGUGAGUCCAAAAGAGUAAACUGUCUGACACCUCCUCUGUCUGUGUGUGUGUGUGUGUGUGUGUGUGUGUGUGUGUGUGUGUGUGUGUGUGUGUGUCCUCUGUCUGAACCCUCUCUGUCUCAGAGCGGCUGACUGAUCUCAGAUCAGCGCAGAAUCAGUCAGUAAGCUGAAGGUCUGAUGAUGAAGCAGAAGCUCCUCGUCAGUUCCCUCAGACUCAGGUUCAGGUUCAGCUCUGCGGUUCGACCUUCCUCCACCAGAGGGCGCUGUUCCCCACUCUGUGAGCCGGCUGAACUCUUCCACCCCGGUGCUGCUCGGUAUUCUGCAGCCGUGUGUGUAAUUGUUUUGUAUUUAGUGAGUGUUUCAGAAGAGUGAAGCAGACGAUGAGCGCUGACUGCAGAUGCUGAGAGAUUUGUCUGAGUUUGACCCUCAGAGAGACUUCUGGAUUUAAAUGAUUUCUGUCAUUAUCAGGGAGCUGAAACCCCAAAUCCUCUGUCAUGUUGGAUAAAAUGUCCACCUAAUGGACUGUGAGACGGGCUCAGAGCUACUUCAUCUUUAUUGAUUUGCUCUUUGGGAAAGUUUUUGGACUCAUAAGAGACAGAUCUGAGACGGGGAAGGUUUAUAUCAGCCCUGCAGAGACAGAGAUCCUUUUAGCUCCUGGAGAUAUGAUGUGAUUUUAAUCUGACUUCAUGAUGUUUCCUCCUAAUACGCUGAGAAACGUCUGCUGUCCGACAUCGGCACCACAGACGAACACCGAACAACUCUCUGACCCGUUCACAGACAGGAAACAUGGCGGUGAUUGUUCGGGGUUUGAGCUCGGUCUCAGGGAAACGAUUACCUUUCAUUAGUCCUCUUAAAGCUCCUGUGAGGACUUCCUGGUGGUUAGGAAAUAGACAGUGAUGAUUCUCUACGAUGAACAAAAGCUAAAUGAGAAAAUUUGUGACGACACUGACGACUUUUUAUUGCUGUGACAUGUGCUAUGUGCUGUUUCCCACUGUAAAAGGACAACAGUGUUCACUUUCACAAGAAUACAAUGAAAUCAGCAAUAAUGCAAGAGUUCCCACUUUGUCCACAGGGGGCGCCAAAGUCAACAGAGACAGAAAAUUCCUUACUGGAGCUUUAAAAAGUGGGAAAACAGCAGUGAAAAAAAACACAAAGGACCUUUGACUCUUAAUUUGUGUACUUGUGUUAUUUUUAAAACAAUCUGUGCGUGUCUGUUACCUGCACAGGUACAGGUGACAGGUGAGGAUAUCAAUAAUCAGAUUGAUUUGGACUCAAGGUCCUAAGAGUUGAAAAGGACAUCUCCAUUAAAGAAAGAUGAGGAGCGUCUGAUUGUCUGAAAAACUGUGUGUGUGUGUGUGUGUGUGUGUGUGUGUGUGUGUGUGUGUGUGUGUGUGUGUGACCUCUGAGUGAAAACAAACUCUGUUCAGAUCCAGCAGACCUCCAUCACUGAAACUUUAAAAGGAUAUUCCAGUGUAAAAUUAAUUUGGGCACCUCAACACUGAGGUCUCUCUACAAACAAGCGUCUGCUGGAAGAGAGUAGGUGAGUUGUGUUUAGUCUCUUUGCUAAAGAAAUGAGUCAAAGUUAAAAAGAUGUUUGGUGUCUAGUACUAUGGCUGUGACCCUAUAUGUACUAACCUCAGUAGAACAUGGUGUAGUUCCGUUCAGUAACAGAACCUCAUUGGAAAAUUAGCCGAUUUAACUUUACUGUGCUCUUGUUCAAAUAUACUAACUCGACAGCACAUAAAUCCAUACCUGUUAACAAAAUCAUGAUUUUAUUGAUAAUUCAACUCAAUAAAAACACCUUUACCUUUUCAUUUUACUACAGAAGAAGUUUAUUGGCCCAGCUUAUAGACCACAGAGGUGGAGAAACGCCCCCGCUUAAGUUUGUUUUCUUAGGAGUUAGAACAACUGUGAAUAUAGUACUAUGGCUGUGACCCUAUAUGUCCUGUUGAUGAAGUUAGGUGCUGUUCUGAGCAUUAUUUGUGGCUAUAGAGUGGCGUUUUGGUUGAGGGCGUGUCUCUCUGUAUUUCUAUCCUGCGGUCGUUACUAAAGUUGGUAUAACUAGAGAAGCAAGCGGUCGACAACAUUCAUCUCUUGAGGGGGUGUCUGACUCGGUGUUACGGUGGGUUUGACCCUAAAUUAACUUUAUGUCGGAAUAUCCCUUUAAGGUGCAUUCAUGCUCUAAACCUCUAAAGAGUCCUCUCCAUUGACAGUUCACAGAUCUGGGCCAAACGUUGCAGUGCCACCUGUAAUCAGAGGGGGCAGUGUUGAGCAGCAUAGCCCACAUUUAAAUUGGACUAAAGUCAGAUACUGUAGAUCAGAUCUGAAGUGUGCUUCAUGACAGCAGGUGGAACAGCUGUUACCGGUUACAGUCAUCUCUCUGUGAUCAGAGAAGAGCAGCUCUUACCGCCUGUUUCUCUGCUGCUGUUACUGCAGGUAAAACACCUGAAAAUGGACUCUGUGGUUAGUGGACUGAGUUCAGGUCUGUUCACACCUCCAUGAUGGAGAGAGAGAGGAGAGACAGAUGUUCAGCAGGCCGUGAUUAAAAGUGAGAUAGCAGCAAAUGGAGAGAGAGUCAUUAAUCAAUGUGAACACACACACACACACACACACACACACACACAAACACACACACAGAUACAGUAGUAGUUUCUCCCCGUCCUGAAUGACCUCAUGGUAAGGAGGAGAAGGGGGAGGGUGUCAGGCUCUUACAUAAGUCCAGCCUCCCCCCCGCCCGGAGCAGCAGAGCGAUCGAUAAGGCCGAGCUCAGAGGGAGACGAGGAGGCAGGAGGAGGAGGAGACAGACCUGAUCAAACGAUCCCGAGGGAGAGAGCCAGAGCCAGCAGGGGAGAGGAUUAUCACGGCUGUCAGUGAAUAUGACACGGCGUGCUAAUUAGACAUGACUGGUUAGAGCGAUUAGCAGAGGCAGUCAAAGGGGCAGUCAGUCACUGAAGACAGAGGAGAAGCUGCUGUCAGGAGUGAGACAGGGGACAAAAACUGGACCAACAAACUCUGAGUUUGAUUAUUACAGCAGAAGAAAGUCUGAGUUAGACAAAAACUGAACCCUAAACUCUAAGUUUGAUUAUCACAGAAGAAAGUCUGAGUUAGACAAAAACUGAACCCACAAACUCUGAGUUUGAUUAUUGCAGCAGACAGAGUCUUUAACGUGCCCCUAAAAACCACAACUUUGGACUUUUGAAGGAGGAGCCGGUUCAGAAGAGUCUACUAAAGACUGAGGGACAGUAUAGAGAUGGUCAGUAUAGAGACGGUCAGUAUAGAGAUGUGAGAAUAGAGACAGUCAGUAUAGAGAUGGUCAGUAUAGAUACAGCCAGUGUAGAGACUGUCAGUGUAGAGACGGGCAGUAUAGAGCUAGUCAAUGUUAAGAUAUCAGUCUGGAUACAGUCAGUGUAGAAACAGACAGUAUAGAAAUGUCAGUAUAUAGAUGGUCAGUAUAGAGCUUGGUGAUAAUCAGUAUAGAUACGGUCAUUGUAGAUAUGGUCAGUAUAGAAACGGUCAUUAUAGAGAAGGGAAUGUAGAUAUCGUCACUGUAGAGACGGUCAGUAUAGAUAUGGUCAGUAUAGAGAUGUCAGUAUAGAGACGGUUAGUGUAGAGAUGUUCAAUAUAGAGAUAGUCAGUGUAGAGCUUGGUUAUGGUCAGUAUAGAUGCGGUCAAUGUAGAGAUGUGAGAAUAGAUAGAGUCAGUAUAGAUACAGUCAGUGUAGAGAUGGUCAGUAUAGAUACGGUCAGUAUAGAUCCUGUCAGCGUAGAGCUUGGUGAUAAUCAGUAUAGAUAUGGUCAUUGUAGAGACGGUCAGUGUAGAGCUUGGUUAUGGUCAGUAUAGAUCCAGUCAGUGUAGAGAUGGUCAGUAUAGAUCCGGUCAGCGUAGAGCUCGGUGAGGGUCUUGUUCUGUAGUUUUUGUCCUAAACUGAUGCAGGUGUGUGAGGACAGCGAUAAGACUGUCAUCUAUCCAGAGUCUGGACCCGUCCUGAGAACAACAUCAGGAUGUGAGGGUCACUGUUACUGGAGCUGAGACAUGUGUGGAAAGUUCUGAAAGGCUCCUGACCUUUGACUUUAGACCAGGCUGUUGUUGGGCUGAGGUACAGAUGUUGUUUACCUCCUUAAAUCUCACAGAGGACUGUUAAAGUAAACUGAAAUAAAUCCAAAGUCCUCGAAUAAAACAGAAGAUUUUAACUGUCAGCUCCAUGUGAGCCAUCAUUCUCCUCUCCUGACAGACGAGCGCGAGUUUAAUUCUGUCUUUUUUAGCCCAAACUUGACUAAUCUCCUGUUGUUUGUUCCCUCAGGAACAGUGAAAGGACUAAAUUAAAAAGUCUACAUCCAUACAAAUGAAGCUCAUUCGUUCUGCUCAUUAAACAUAAAACGCUGAAACACUUUCACAGUUUGUAGCCUUUCAGCUUAUUAGCAGCCGUGGCUUUGUCUUUACACAAACAAGCUGAUUUGUAUGUGACCAGAGCGCUUACAGAUAUACGCUGAGGUGCUGUAGAGAUAAUUGAACCUGUUAGGCAGAGAGCAGGGCACAGGAAACACCUGUGGAGCUGAAAAGGAGAAACACGUGGAGAACUGCUGUCAGGAACCCUGCAGGAACACGGAGAGAUGUUCACACGUAUUCAACCCUCUGUGGAUAUGAUUAGACUUUAACAUCUAUGUGUGUGUGUGUGUGUGUGUGUGUGUCUGCUGCACAAAGACACUGUUUGCCUAUGAGCAGUUAAGCCAAUCAGAACAGAUCUCUGACCUUCUGAGGAACCAAUCAAAUUCGUCUGAUGAGGGCGUAGCCUCUGGGUACAAAGAUCAACUCUUCAGACACUUCGCUGAAGCUUCAUCAGGUCAGUCCUCGAACCUUUAAGGUGUGUGUUUGUCAGGUGGAGGUCAGAUCAUCAUUCCUGAUGUGUUCAGGGAAGUCUGUAAAUCUGAACUCUGAUGGUCUCUGAAUCAGUCAGAGCUCAGCUGACCUUCAUACAGAGACAGAAACCCUCCUCAGAUCACCAACCACAGGAGCUGGAGGUCAUGAUGGAGGUCAUGAUGGAGGACUGGGCUCCUCCUGCUUUUGCUCUCCGUACAGACUGACCACAUUGAUAUCCAAGUUCACGUGAAUCACUCAGUACGUUUACAUCGGACUAAGAUCAUGACUUGUUUUUUUUCGCUGAAUCGGAGUUUACAUGCAGCUGAGAAAAUCGACGUGAACAUGUCCUCCUUCCCAACACUAGGGGGCGAUAUGGGUCUUUUCAGCGGCGCUGUUUCCGACCCCAUCCAACCGUCAACAACAACAGCAGGUCGGUGUCAGACGUCAGAAGUGUCUACAACUGCUGCUGGGCGUUUUGGAGAAACAAGAAGAUGGAGCAUCGUACAGCAUUGUUUUUGUCCGACAUGAUGGACGCGCUACUUUUUCUAAAGAGGAGACCAACGCUACUCCUCUACUCUGGGGGUUUGUUACGGGGUUACGGGGGUGUGGCGUCAUACUCCGACUACGCUGGUUACAUGGUAGAGAAAAUCGAAUUCCAAUCACAUUAUCUGGGAGUCUUAAUCAGAGUUCUUAAACGCUGACUAACCCAGGAUUUCCACCGCGUUUUUCGCCAUCCUCCAGUUCCUACCGGAUCCGUUUGUGAGGCGAAUUUCAUGGCGGAUUACAGACAGCAGGAAUCACGAGAACUCAAGAACCCGCAGAUUCACGUUCAAUCCCACGAUAACGAGUUGUCUUUCUAAAGACAGACACAUAGACAUAUAAGCAGUAGAUUGUGUCCUUCCAGAGGAGGAAAUCUACUUCUAGACUUCUAGAAUCAGCAUCUCCUCAUCAAUGGUGUCAUCGGGGUGAAAUGGCGUCUAAAAACCUUCCACUUGUUCGUCUCCGCCCGUUUGCAUGGUGUGAAAUACGAUCCUCCUGAAACACAGAGUGUUUUAUUUUGAAAAGAAGCAGGAUGUUUUAUUUUGUGUCUGUGCCCGACUUCCUUUCCAGAAGUCGGUGUAAAUUGACACGUUAACUUGAAUGGUUACGAUCAGCUACGAUCGGAGGAUACGACCUUUUAGGAGACGAUCAGGAUGAAGGUGGAGAUUAGGGGUAAGGUGUUUACAUGCACUUCAGCUGUCCGGUCUUAAUCGGAGUACAGUAAUAAUUUCAUUUUCUCGAGUGCCGUGGAAACGUUCUGAGUGAUGGACCUUACUAACCAGUUAGCGUAGAUGUUGGCUGAUCAUACCAGGACCCCAAACUCUGCAGUAUAGCAGCCAUCAGGAGGAGGAGGAGGAGGAGGAGGAGACUCUUACCUUUAAACCACGUCCCCCUUCAGACCUACAAUAACUCAACUAUCAGUAACGAUGGUUUUUAGCUGAACGCUCACGUCUGUAUCGUCGCCUCUUUGACAUCUGUCAGGAAACAGUAACGAUGACAGAAACGCAGAAAUCAUUUCUCUGUUUGCCGUUUAAACCUGGAAAGUUGUCUGAGAUUAGUAUCAGAUGAUCUCUGAGUUUUGAGAUGAUCUCCUAAAAACCACAUUUGUCUGACUGAGCAGGAGAGCCAGCCCUCUCUGUCUGAGCCAAACCAUUUCACUCCACAUGAUUGCUGAGCAGGAAGCCAAGUGUACUUGGAGGCUUGAUUUGGAGCACAUCAGCCUAUGAGGCGUCACUGAAUCAGCAAAACAUCUUUUUUUUUUUUUUUCUGAAUGAGCUUAUCGGUCCAGAAAACGAUGCUCCUCACUGUCUGAACGUAUCUACACUGAGCAUCAGCUCUCUCCUCAGGACGUCUGUGAUCCUCCUCAAUCAUAUCAGAUGAAAUGUGGCGUGUCGCUGUAAAAACGCUGAUUAUGUCUGUGCAGAGAUCACACACACACUGACUCUGAGUGCAGGGCUGAGUCUCAGGUGUGUGUGUUCGUGUGUGUUUGUGUGUCGCAGGUGUGAGUCAGUGGGUUCGACUGUGACGAGCAGAUCAGGAGGACAGAGAGAAAAAUGGAGGCCGUUUUGAAGCGUUUCCACCGUCUGACUCUCUCAGGAGCUGCAGAGUCGCAGCUCUCAGCUGUCAGGUUGGCGAGCUCGGGGUUUUAUUUCAUCAUGCAGAGAAAUCGGCGCUGUACACACAGAGAGAGAGAGAGAGAGAGAGAGAGAGAGAGAGAGAGAGAGAGAGAGAGAGAGAGAGAGAGAGAGAGAGAGAGACAGAGAGAGAGAGAGAGAGGGAGAGAGAGAGGGGGAGAGAGAGAGAGAGAGAGAGAGACAGAGAGGGAGGGAGGGAGAGAGGGAGAGACAGAGAGGGAGAGAGGGAGAGAGAGAGAGAGAGACAGAGAGAGAGAGAGAGAGAGAGAGAGACAGAGAGGGAGGGAGGGAGAGAGGGAGAGACAGAGAGGGAGAGAGGGAGAGAGAGAGAGAGAGACAGAGAGAGAGAGAGAGUGCAGCUGAGUGGAUAUCUGUACACCAGAACAGAAACUCAAAGGCCCGUCGAUCAGACCACUGUUCCCUUCAAAUGAUCAACUGAACUACGUCAGAUUUCUCUCUCCGAUCCACGUCUCUGUGAGCGUUUCAAUAAGUCCAACCUUCAUAAAAACUAUAAAACCUCCUCAAUAAACGUCCAAAUUCUGAUGGUUUUAUUGUUUCAGACAGGAUUCUGGAGCGCUGCAUCGUCUACAGCAGAGGUUCUGAACUGGUCUCACUCUGGGACCCACAUUUUCCCACAGGCUUCAGUCACGACCCACUUUUAUAAAAUUCAAACCAAACAAAUUUAUUUUUUAUUAAAAAAAGACUCAAAUCUUUGACAUAAAUCCACCGUUUUAUUGAGUAAAGUGCAUUUCAGAAAACAUGAAGGGGACAACAUGAGGACGACGACGACUGAAGAUACAAAUACAGAAAAUAUCUAAUAUCUAGAAAAUAUCAUAAUCAAUAUUUACUUUUUUGACCAGCUGUUGGUGACCCCCUCCAGAAUGUGUCUGCGACCCACUUUUGGGUCGAGACCCACCAGUUGAGAACCUCUGGUCUAAAGUGUGUGUGUGUGUGUGUGUGUGUGUGUGUGUGUGUGUGUGUGUGUGUGUGUGUGUGUGUGUGUGUGUGUGUGUGUAACCACAGUAGUUGCUAAUACUAAAACAAACUCGACAUUUUAACCUGAUCGGCUCAUAAAAGUUUAAAAACAUUUAAAUUCUUCAGGGUAACUAAAGCUCGACUCGAACCCGACAUUCACUUUAGAUUAAACACUUUCUAGUGACGUGUGACUCACACUGAAAUGUCCCUUUAAUUCUCCGGGGAACAGGUCAGGGUGUUGUACUCGUGCUAAUUAACUUCCUGUUGUUAUUGUGACCACCAGGAAAUCACGCCGGUCAGGGUCUGUAUCAUGAUAUAUAAUUUUCCUAUCAGCUGAUAUGGAUCAAUAUCAGGAUCUAAAAAUCUAACAGUGUUUCUUGGUCUCAUGUCUUUUCCAACACAAUAAUCUCCUGCAUCUGUGAGGUCUUUGUGUCUCUUUGGCGUUUUGUCGUAAGGCGUCGCUCUAGAGAAAGCCGACUGAAUGGUCGUCUGUUUCGGCUCCUCGCUCCUCUCGGGGUUUGUAACCUUUGGCGUUGCGCGUGCUCUGCGGCGUGGCGCUGCUUCAGGUGGUGAAAAAGAUUUGAGGUAUUCCCCGACUUUGUGAGAACAUGUACUCGACAUAAUUUACAGUCCACAUUACUCUGCUUCAUGUCCGACCUCCAAAAACCAAAAUACCUCCACACCACCGACGUUUUCCUAACGCCAGUGUUGUGGUUGACAUUGAUGUGGUCAUCUGUUGAGCCUUCAUGGUCAUUUCUGUCGGGGGUAGCACUCAUUUUCUUUGUUUCUCACCAACAGUGCUGUCGGCUUCACCUGUUAAAGUGCUAUGGUUGGGUGGAGCUGCUGUCUGCUACGACUUUGCUGCAGUUGGUUGAUACUUGGUUCUAAUUCAGAACAUGAUUGGUUCAGACCCGGAGAAACUCCCCUUUUCAUUGGCUGUUCGUAUAGUCGACCAAAACAUGUCAGAAUGACGACUAUUGAAAAGCAUAUUGAUCAUGUUUUAUAUCGAUAUCUUAUCGUCCUAUUGCUGUCGUUGAAGGUCGUCUCCGGGGUUCAGGAACUUUCUUGUUUCUGGAACGGUCUGAGUUCUCGCUCUCUCUCGUCUUGUGGCGUCGUUCAGGUCGCUGACAUGUCAGUGAUUUAACUCCUCGUCAGACAAACAGGUUUUUUUUUUAUCCCUCUUUUGUUCAAUCGUUCUCCCCCCUUUGAUUACAUCCUCCUCCCCCCCGGGUCAGUGAGGCUGAGUGACAGCUAAUAUCCCCCUCUCUGACAUUCACUCCUCCCCGCUCCCUCCUGGAUCCCUCUGUUCCCGAGGAGAGACCAUUUUCACAUCGGUCUCUUCACCUUUUCACUCUUUGUUCCUGCUCUUUUUACAGGCGUCUGAUUGCUGGAGGUUUCCCCGGCGCCGAGCUCGAGCUCGUCAGUCACAGGAGAGUUUUCAUUAAGCAGCCCGUUUGGUUGCUGAGCUGCUGUUUGGAUCGUCUCCUGCAUGUGUUUUCAUCUGCAGACUCCAGAGACUCUUCAAACCAACAUCUUAUUUCCAAAGAAGAACAAACACACUCCUAUUUAAACUGAACAAUCCUGCUGUGUGUGUGUGUGUGU